rnacentral:rRNA from 1 species
CGUAGAGGGUGAUAAUCCCGUACCUUAAAACUCCAUUGUGGUACUAGGCUAACAACAAGUAGGGCGGGACACGUGAUAUCCUGUUUGAAGAUGGGGGGACCAUCCUCCAAGGCUAAAUACUCCUGAUUGACCGAUAGUGAACCAGUACUGUGAAGGAAAGGCGAAAAGAACCCCGGCGAGGGGAGUGAAAUAGAACCUGAAACCUUGUGCGUACAAGCAGUGGGAGCAAGAGUAAUCUUGUGACUGCGUACCUUUUGUAUAAUGGGUCAGCGACUUAUAUUUUGUAGCAAGGUUAACUGAAUAAGGGAGCCGUAGGGAAACCGAGUCUUAACUGGGCGUGUAGUUGCAAGGUAUAGACCCGAAACCCGGUGAUCUAGCCAUGGGCAGGUUGAAGGUUGGGUAACACUAACUGGAGGACCGAACCGACUAAUGUUGAAAAAUUAGCGGAUGACUUGUGGCUGGGGGUGAAAGGCCAAUCAAACCGGGAGAUAGCUGGUUCUCCCCGAAAUCUAUUUAGGUAGAGCCUUGAGCGGACACCUUCGGGGGUAGAGCACUGUUUCGGCUAGGGGUCCAUCCCGGAUUACCAACCCGAUGCAAACUGCGAAUACCGAAGAGUGAUACUCAGGAGACACACGGUGGGUGCUAACGUCCAUCGUGGAGAGGGAAACAACCCAGACCGCCAGCUAAGGUCCCAAAGUCUAUAUUAAGUGGGAAACGAAGUGGGAAGGCUUAGACAGCUAGGAUGUUGGCUUAGAAGCAGCCACCAUUUAAAGAAAGCGUAAUAGCUCACUAGUCGAGUCGGCCUGCGCGGAAGAUGUAACGGGGCUCAAAUAUAGCACCGAAGCUGCGGCAUCAGACGAAAGUCUGUUGGGUAGGGGAGCGUUGUGUAAGUCGAUGAAGGUGGAUUGAGAAGUCUGCUGGAGAUAUCACAAGUGCGAAUGCUGACAUAAGUAACGAUAAAACGAGUGAAAAACUCGUUCGCCGGAAGACCAAGGGUUCCUGUCCAACGUUAAUCGGGGCAGGGUGAGUCGGCCCCUAAGGCGAGGCUGAAAAGCGUAGUCGAUGGGAAACGGGUUAAUAUUCCCGUACUUGUAAUAACUGCGAUGUGGGGACGGAGAAGGUUAGGUUAGCAGACUGUUGGAUGUCUGUUUAAGCCGGUAGGUGGGAAGAUUAGGCAAAUCCGGUCUUCCUUAACACCGAGAAGUGAUGACGAGUCUCUACGGAGAUGAAGUAACCGAUACCACGCUUCCAGGAAAAGCCACUAAGCUUCAGGUUAUUAUAAACCGUACUAUAAACCGACACAGGUGGUCAGGUAGAGAAUACUCAGGCGCUUGAGAGAACUCGGGUGAAGGAACUAGGCAAAAUAGCACCGUAACUUCGGGAGAAGGUGCGCCGGCGUAGAUUGUAGUCCCUUGCGGAUGAAGGUUGAACCGGUCGAAGAUACCAGCUGGCUGCAACUGUUUAUUAAAAACACAGCACUCUGCAAACACGAAAGUGGACGUAUAGGGUGUGAUGCCUGCCCGGUGCUGGAAGGUUAAUUGAUGGUGUUAUCGCAAGAGAAGCUCCUGAUCGAAGCCCCAGUAAACGGCGGCCGUAACUAUAACGGUCCUAAGGUAGCGAAAUUCCUUGUCGGGUAAGUUCCGACCUGCACGAAUGGCAUAAUGAUGGCCAGGCUGUCUCCACCCGAGACUCAGUGAAAUUGAAAUCGCCGUGAAGAUGCGGUGUACCCGCGGCUAGACGGAAAGACCCCGUGAACCUUUACUAUAGCUUGACACUGAACAUUGAAUUUUGAUGUGUAGGAUAGGUGGGAGCCUUUGAAGCAGUCACGCCAGUGAUUGUGGAGGCGUCCUUGAAAUACCACCCUUUAACGUUUGAUGUUCUAACGAAGAUUGCGGAACGCGGUCUCGGACAGUGUCUGGUGGGUAGUUUGACUGGGGCGGUCUCCUCCCAAAGAGUAACGGAGGAGCACGAAGGUUUGCUAAUCACGGUCGGACAUCGUGAGGUUAGUGCAAUGGUAUAAGCAAGCUUAACUGCGAGACAGACAAGUCGAGCAGGUGCGAAAGCAGGUCAUAGUGAUCCGGUGGUUCUGAAUGGAAGGGCCAUCGCUCAACGGAUAAAAGGUACUCCGGGGAUAACAGGCUGAUACCGCCCAAGAGUUCAUAUCGACGGCGGUGUUUGGCACCUCGAUGUCGGCUCAUCA